CUGACCUUAGGGUAAAACUAAGUUUCCUACCACCAUGCAUAAUACCUCCACUAGCUGUGCACAGGACAGCUGACAAUUGUUCCUUGCCUGGUGAUUGCCUGUAUCACCCACUAGAAUAUGAGUUGUAUUAAAAUGAAAACAACACCAGAAGCUGACACACAGAUUGGGAUGGAGAAAAAUAACAGACUUGGAGGAACAGAAACUUCUGCCUGCAAAGGACUGGGACAAAGAGGCAGAUAAAGACCAGCCACCUGCUUCCAGCAUUGCUCUCAUGGCCACUGGGAAUUCAACUUGAAGGCCUUGGAAAACAUUUCUGAUGACUCUGGAAUGGAGGAAAAGCCCAGUGGUUCUGGUUGGAUUUCAUGUAGAAAACCCUCCCCUUGUUUUAUAGAAGCCAGAGCAGGGACCAGUGGUGUUGUAUAGAGCUCCCCAGGGUUGCAGGUGAACUGAUGUGUCUAUUCGAGGUUACCUCUGGUCAUCUACAGCCUGAGAUUAAUGGGUCCCCAAUCCUAAUGCUGCAAUGGUAGUUAUCACGCCCAGAUUUUCAUCUUAAUCCGUAGAGAUGAGCACACAUCAAAAAGCUCAGCAGGCUGGCCCAGAUCGUUAUGAUAAUGAUUAAUAACAGGCUUGUAGACGGUGCUUCUGCCUGCACGGCUCACCAUUGCUUUUAUGCAGAAGACUCCAGUGCACAAAGGUAAAAGGGAGGACAACAGCAGCACUGGGGACAGAUGGAUUUCCUUAAGUAAAUCAGUUUCUCUAUAAUCCAAAGCCUAGGUUGGAUCUGAAUUCCAUGCCUUGUAACUUCCUUUCAUAUAAUGGAUCUGAAAGUCAGUUUGGCUAUGAA
rnacentral:lncRNA from 1 species